GCAAGUCGAACGAGCGAGAGAGAGCUUGCUUUCUCGAGCGAGUGGCGAACGGGUGAGUAACGCGUGAGGAACCUGCCUCAAAGAGGGGGACAACAGUUGGAAACGACUGCUAAUACCGCAUAAGCCCACGACCCGGCAUCGGGUAGAGGGAAAAGGAGCAAUCCGCUUUGAGAUGGCCUCGCGUCCGAUUAGCUAGUUGGUGAGGUAACGGCCCACCAAGGCGACGAUCGGUAGCCGGACUGAGAGGUUGAACGGCCACAUUGGGACUGAGACACGGCCCAGACUCCUACGGGAGGCAGCAGUGGGGAAUAUUGCACAAUGGGGGAAACCCUGAUGCAGCGACGCCGCGUGGAGGAAGAAGGUCUUCGGAUUGUAAACUCCUGUUGUUGAGGAAGAUAAUGACGGUACUCAACAAGGGAGUGACGGCUAACUACGUGCCAGCAGCCGCGGUAAAACGUAGGUCACAAGCGUUGUCCGGAAUUACUGGGUGUAAAGGGAGCGCAGGCGGGAAGACAAGUUGGAAGUGAAAUCCAUGGGCUCAACCCAUGAACUGCUUUCAAAACUGUUUUUCUUGAGUAGUGCAGAGGUAGGCGGAAUUCCCGGUGUAGCGGUGGAAUGCGUAGAUAUCGGGAGGAACACCAGUGGCGAAGGCGGCCUACUGGGCACCAACUGACGCUGAGGCUCGAAAGUGUGGGUAGCAAACAGGAUUAGAUACCCUGGUAGUCCACACCGUAAACGAUGAUUACUAGGUGUUGGAGGAUUGACCCCUUCAGUGCCGCAGUUAACACAAUAAGUAAUCCACCUGGGGAGUACGACCGCAAGGUUGAAACUCAAAGGAAUUGACGGGGGCCCGCAC
rnacentral:rRNA from 1 species